CUCCUGCCUUGUUUUCAGGUAGUGUACACUGGAGAGGAAAAGAAAUCAGGAUGUAAUGUGGAAACAGGAAAAAUCAACGAUAAACACGGAGAGCAGGUGAUCCACGAGGAUGAUGGCACGGAAAAGCCUGCGAGGGGUCCAGCAGCAGCAUGCACAACCAACCGGCUUCCCCGUCCUAAAACCGUACACGCAACGCGCCGCAGUGCAGAUGCUUCAGCUGGACAACAUGGACUCAGACACUUCUCCGGUCCGUAGGGUCGUUCGGAAUAAAAUUGUACACUACCUGAAAACAAGGCAGGAGUUCUGUAACUUGCACAAACAUUAU